rnacentral:rRNA from 1 species
AGAGUUUGAUCCUGGCUCAGAUUGAACGCUGGCGGCAUGCUUUACACAUGCAAGUCGAACGGCAGCGCGGGGCAACCUGGCGGCGAGUGGCGAACGGGUGAGUAAUAUAUCGGAACGUACCCAAGAGUGGGGGAUAACGUAGCGAAAGUUACGCUAAUACCGCAUACGAUCUAAGGAUGAAAGUGGGGGAUCUUCGGACCUCAUGCUCCUGGAGCGGCCGAUAUCUGAUUAGCUAGUUGGUGAGGUAAAGGCUCACCAAGGCGACGAUCAGUAGCUGGUCUGAGAGGACGACCAGCCACACUGGAACUGAGACACGGUCCAGACUCCUACGGGAGGCAGCAGUGGGGAAUUUUGGACAAUGGGCGUAAGCCUGAUCCAGCAAUGCCGCGUGAGUGAAGAAGGCCUUCGGGUUGUAAAGCUCUUUUGUCAGGGAAGAAACGGUAGAGGCUAAUAUCCUUUGCUAAUGACGGUACCUGAAGAAUAAGCACCGGCUAACUACGUGCCAGCAGCCGCGGUAAUACGUAGGGUGCAAGCGUUAAUCGGAAUUACUGGGCGUAAAGCGUGCGCAGGCGGUUUUGUAAGUCUGUCGUGAAAGCCCCGGGCUCAACCUGGGAAUUGCGAUGGAGACUGCAAGGCUUGAAUCUGGCAGAGGGGGGUAGAAUUCCACGUGUAGCAGUGAAAUGCGUAGAGAUGUGGAGGAACACCGAUGGCGAAGGCAGCCCCCUGGGUCAAGAUUGACGCUCAUGCACGAAAGCGUGGGGAGCAAACAGGAUUAGAUACCCUGGUAGUCCACGCCCUAAACGAUGUCUACUAGUUGUCGGGUUUUAAUUAACUUGGUAACGCAGCUAACGCGUGAAGUAGACCGCCUGGGGAGUACGGUCGCAAGAUUAAAACUCAAAGGAAUUGACGGGGACCCGCACAAGCGGUGGAUGAUGUGGAUUAAUUCGAUGCAACGCGAAAAACCUUACCUACCCUUGACAUGUC